UAUGAUUCCCUUGAAUAUGAUUUGGAACAAACUUCCUAAGUCAUAUUCAUUUGCUUGGGCCAAAGACUUUAGAAUCAUAUCUUAGAGUAUUCUCCUUCCACCAUGGAAGGUUAGAGAUCCCUUGUUGUGCAUUCAUAUGCCUACACGACUAGAUAGCUUAACCCCAACAAUGCCGUGGACACUCCGAUGGAAUGCCGUUGACAUGAUCAAAGAUCAAGGACCUAACCAUUAGACAUCUAUGAUGCCUCAGGUCAAAGGACUACUUUGCAUAUUGCAACUUUCGAGUUCUUACAUGACAUGUAUGUUCGAACUCUCUUUCGAUCGUUGUUCAGUGUACUCGAUUACUCUUUCGAGCACCUAUGUGUUUGUCUUAGUGUCCAACACCAAAUGACUUGAGACUAGUCAUACUCAGGCUUGAGUCAAUAUAACACAUACUAACCUUAACGGAUUGUCAAUACCCAAUUGGCAAUCCUAUGGCUAGGAACGUUUUAGGAAUGAACAUAAGAGAAUGGUCUCGAUAAUCUAACUCACUUAGAUCACUUGUCUCUUAGAUCAAAUACAUCCCUUGGAUUCGCUUAUUACUUAAACGCAUGAUACAAUAAAUAGUGAUUAACAAUAAGCUUUGCCCUUCAUUAAACAUAUAAAAGUUUAAUACAUUAAGUAUUCCAAAAAGCUAUUACAUCAAAUGAGUGGCUUUGUGGGCAUACUUCCAACACAUACCGACAAACUUUCAUCGGGCAUGCUUGGGUUGACCAAAGAAACCUGACGAAUAUUUUUCUCGGGCAAAAUGUAAAUGAAAAAAAAAUAAAAAAUUAAGCCUUAAUUUUUCCCGAUGAAUAUGCCGUCAUGCAAGCUUUAUUAGCACAAAAAAAUUAAAAUUUAAAACCUUAAUCUGGCAAUUUAUGUUGUCAGACAACGCUUAUUUUUCUAAAAAAUAUAUUAAAUAUGUUUAAAUUUAAUUAAUUAAUUUUAAUUAUAUUAAUAUCAUAAUAUUAAACAAAUUUAUUUUAUUAAUAAAAUUACAAUGUUCGUAUAAUUAUAUUGACAUUGAAAAACAAAUUUAUUCUUGAUUGAAAACCGCUUCACUCGUCCAAUUGCUUCACCCCAAAAGACAUCCAUUUCCAGAAUUUAUAAAUUCUGAAAACAAUCGUAGAGCCAGUACCACUCGUCCAUCCUAUGCUCAAAUUCCAAGGGUGGAUGGUGUUGGAAAUGUGCCAUAAAGGCAAUCAUAAGAUGAUACUUUACAAACAUUUCACAUAUUAAACUAAUCUAGUUUAAUGUAAGGGCAAAAAUUAUUGUUAAAGUUGUCUCAUUAAAUGUUAUACGCUUGAAGGAUAAGUCCAAGAAAUGUGUAAUUAAGAGAGUGUGAUAUAAAGAAGUUAGAUUCAUGAGUCCUUUCUCUUUCAUUCACAUAUUCUAAACGUUCCUAAUCAUAGGGUUGGCAAUUGGGCAUUGACGAUCCUGAUAGAUCAAUAAAAGCAUGUCUUCUUUCACAAGAGAGUGAUCAGUCUCGAGUCAUUAGUGUGAAUGACACCAAAACAAGUAUUUAGGUGCUCAAUGGAGAAUGAGUCCACUGAAUGCGAUCAAUAAAAAGUUCUCAUACUCAUGUCACAUAAGAACUCAUGGUUACGUUAAAUAGUUCUUUUGACUUAAGAUAUCAUAGCUGUCUUGUGGUUAAGUCCUUAGUCUUUGGCUAUGUUAAAGGCUUUACAUUUAAGGGUGUCCACAAUAUAGUUGGGGCUAAGCUACUUAGUCAUGUGAGUAUUAAAUAUACAACAAGGGAUCUCUAACCUUCAAACCGUUGAGGGAGAAUACUCUAUAAUAUUGUCAAUCCAAAAAACUUCUUAGCCUACGUGGCGUGUAGGCCGAGUAAUUAAUAAACCAACUACGUCAUUCGGUCAAAUAUGGGGCGUGCCAACUCGUCAGUCGAGUUCGGCCGGGGAGUAAAAUGAAUGUUGAUGUGGUGUUGAGCGUGCUGCUGAUUUCUGCAUCUUGCGAUUGCGACCAAAGAAGGAACUCAUCUCAGCCUUUGGGUUUUAGAGUUUGAAGACAAGGCUGCUAUUUUCUUUGAAGUUCACAAAUCGUCAGCGGCUGGGUUCGGUCUCAGUAAUUAUAUUUGUGAGAAUAUAAGUACACUAAACUUGUACCAAACUGUACUGACACAAAUACUCAAAAGAGAUAAGUGUCUUGAUUGUAAAUGUGGUUCGGCCGUCAGAAUGCCAAACUCUAAAAUGUACUUGUGGAUAUCCAAUCAUAAAAUCAACUCGGCUUUCAAUGUGCCGAGCCUGGUAACACUUCACUUCGUCGAGAUGGCUGAUGAAAUGACCUCUUCCAACAAAGACUUGGAAAUCCUUGUUGGCCGAGACUUGGAUAAGUAAUCAAUCGGUCUCGAAGUGUUGUUUAUCCAAACUGAAUGAGCUCAUCGGUCAGCUGAUUCUAUGACUCCAGUGCUGUUUAUCCAAACUGAAGAUGUUGCCGAUUGCUUUCACAUUGUUAUUUAUCAAAACUAAAGAUGUGUUGGUCGGAAAAAAGAAAAUAAAAACCUCAAGGUGUUUGAGAGGUUUGCACAGGGCAGUUGUGUGUUAAAUUGGAGGGGGAGGGGCUUUCUCUGUUGCAGAGCACCUUGUAUUUAUAACAUGCUUCAUAUUUUCUGCUUGGCACAGCUUGAUAAUUUCACAGAGUCCAAUUGAAACUCAUACUCGUGAAAUGAAGACUGAUAUGUGGCAUAUGCUAAAGCCUACCUUCCAGAUGGCUAUCCACGACUUUUCAAACAAAAUAAAAGCCUAUCUGCACUUAUCAAAUCACCACCAAAAUCCUACCCCAUCUAGGCUUCUUAUCAAAAUUUCAUCUCAUGCAUGCAUCUCAUCGGACCAUCUUGAUCCAUUCCAAGCCACGUGCAUAAUAGCAUUUAUCCAUCAUCAUUAUCUCCCACUUAUAAAUGGAUAAUAACAACCCAAAAACCCAAUCAUGUCUCAAUGGCUUCCAAGUGACCUUGGGCAAACACAAUAUUAACCAAAAUGAUAAUGAUUAUAGCAUGCCAAACUGAAUAGGUUCUCCAACCUCUUAUGAUUAGUUUGGGUAGCCAUGACAUAUUGCUAGGUAUCACUCAUGGUUUGUGGAAGCCCUGAAGAUGUACAAUCACUAAAGAAAGAAUUAAAAGUAAGAUUCAAUUUACAAUCGAUUAGUAAGAGUUCUCAUCGCUCAUUGUCUCAAUAAAAAGAACCUAAUGGAUCACACACUAUGUAAGGUAAUGAUUGAAUGAUAUAACGAAGAUGAGUAUGAACAAUUAAAUAGUUUAAUUGUAUAUAGCAAUGACUAAUCAAAAGUUAAUUAAUCAAAGAUGAAAGGUUUGUGGCCUUAAGUUAGUUUCAGGUUUAGGGACUUAAAUGAGUUUUGGUCCACAAGGCAUAUAAGGUUUAAGUUGUGUAACAACUAAAACAAAAAAUAAGCAAUUACCCUAACUAAACACCCAAGGCCGACCAUAGAGAGAGGGUUAGUGAUGGCUCACUUGUUAUAAGACUGCGUGAGGGCGCUUGUCAAAUCUGUAGUAUGCUGAGAUAUGUGUGGAUCACCAUUUUGGAGUUGAGCAGCUUGUUUGCAAUGCAUCUUCGUAAAUGGUGAAAGUGUAGUGAAUA
rnacentral:lncRNA from 1 species